rnacentral:rRNA from 1 species
GACGAAGGGGGGCUAACGUUGUUCGGAAUUACUGGCGUAAAGCGCGUGUAGGCGGUUGCCAAAGUCGGGUGUGAAAAGCCUUGAGCUCAACUCAAGAAAUGCACUCGAUACUUGGUGACUAGAGGACCGGAGAGGAUAGUGGAAUUCCCAGUGUAGUGGUGAAAUACGUAGAGAUUGGGGAAGAACACCAGUGGCGAAGGCGGCUAUCUGGACGGUUUCUGACGCUAAGACGCGAAAGCGUGGGGAGCAAACAGG